rnacentral:sRNA from 2 species
AAGUAGCAGCAGCCUAAAUUGGCGCUCCUUCCUGAGAGCCAAUGCGGGGGAACCAGAUUCCCGGAAAACCGGGACGGGGCGUAAGGUCGCGGGCAACCGUGGCCAAGGUCACUUCCAGGACCAAGCCCGUCAGCUAACCUCGUCGGCAAUUGGAAGGGCGAU